rnacentral:lncRNA from 1 species
CCCCGGGGGGCGUGGAAUGCAGGCCGAGGUGGCUUCCGCAGAGGCUUCGGCAGUGGCGUCCAGGGCCGGGGUCGCAGCCGGGGCCGGGGCCGGGGCAGGGGCUGCGGAGCUCGCGGAGGCAAGGCCGAGGACAAGCAGUGGCUCCACGUGACCAAGCUGGGCCUCCUGGUCAAGGACAUGAAGAUCGAGUCCCUGGAGGAGAUCUACCUUUUCUCUCUGCCCAUCAAGGAGUCUGAGAUUAUUGCUUUUUCCUGGGAGCAUCCCUCAAGGAUGAGGUUUUGAAGAUUAUGCCCGUGCAAAAGCAGACCCGUGCCGGCCAGUGGACCAGGUUCAAGGCAUUUGUUGCCAUCGGGUAUUACAACGGACGAAGUAGCCACUGCCUCUGUGGGACCAUCAUCCUGGCCAAGCUGUCCAUCGUCCCUGUGCGAAGAGGCUACUGGGGGAACAAGAUCUGCAAGCCCCACACGGUUCCUUGCAAGGUGACUGGCCGCUGUGGCUCCAUGCUGGUGCGCCUCAUCCUUGCCCCCAGAGGCACUGGCAUCUCUCCACCCCUGUGCCCAAGAAGCUGCUGCUCAUGGCCGGCAUCUACGACUGCUACACUUCUGCCAGGGGCUGCACCGCCACCCUGGACAACUUCGCCAAGGCCACUUUUGAUGCCAUUUCCAAGACCUACAGUUAUCUCACCCCUGACCUCUGGAAAGAGACAGUGUUCACCAAGACUCCAUAUCAGGAAUUCACUGACCAUCUUGUGAAGACCCACACCAGAGUCUCCAUGCAGAGGACCCAGGCCCCAGCUGUAGCCACCACAUAA